UGAAACUCCUGGUUCAAGCGAUCCUCCCACCUUGGCCUCCCAAAGUGUUGGGAUUACAGGUAUCAUCCACCACAUGCCCAGCCAACAUACAGAAUUCUACCA